ensembl:lncRNA
GCUUGGCGGUUGGGAAUUGGCUGACUGGACAUGCUGCAUGUCUGAUCAAGCGGACCAUUUCAGAGAACACGAAAGUUCUGUUUGGAAAUGUCACAGCGAAAGGAAGAUGACUGGGAAGGAGUGGAUGACUAGGAAGUGCUUUCCUUAAGAAACAGGCAAGGCUCUCAAGACUGGACAUGGAAGCCAAGGAGCAGUGGAGCUUAAUUCCCUUCCUUCUUGGCUCUAGUGACGCUCUUCUCAUGAACUGAAUGAAGCUUAAGUGAUAGCGUGUUUUAGGAAUAUUCUCCUUAAACAUAUUUACCUCUUACGCUCUCUGAAUCCAUUCUCCGUCAUACUGUGCCUGCCCACGUGGAGCCUGCAGACACUGCACCAGCUGCCCCCACAGUCAGCCUCUAGUGAAAGCCCAGUCUCCCGUACCUCCCACCGCCCCAACCUCCAACGACUCCGCCUGACACGGCAUCACCGCCACCUCUCAGCCUUCCAGUGUGCUUGCUGUCUUCCCUAUUCUGAGACACGUGUAAAACCCGGAGAAAUGAAGUGACUCCCCAAGACACGAGAAGAUGGACCAAAACCAUAAAGUGAGAACAGAUGUUUUAAUGGGGAAGUGAAGAACAGGGUGAAGAAAAAGGGAAUGUUAUUGGUGACUACCACAAUCAAGAUAUAGAACACUUGCAACAUUGCAGAAGAUUCUGCGUGCUCCUCUCCAGCUAGUCCCUCUGCUGUCCUCUGACUCCAGGCAACCAGUGAUUUGUCUAUCGCUGUAGAUUCAAUUUGCCUUUCUUCGAGUUUCAAAUAAAUGAAUCAAAAGUGUCCAGCCAAUUUCCCAAGGGCGGGAAUGGCCUAUUUGACCCCAUCAAAAGGACCUGUGGCUAGCCAGUAUUUUCAUCUGGCUCAUGCUGUUUCUUCAAUUUAUCGAGGUCACUUUGAAUUCUGAUCUUUUCUUCUGAAGUGUUAGCAACCCCUUCUAACUUGGUGUCAUCUGAAAAAUACUACCUGUAUGAAAUGUGUGACUGAGUUAAGCUAGGAGUGUCAUGUUGGACAUUUUCUUAAACUAGAGCACAGCUGGAAAUUAUUACACAACCAAAGCAUACUCCAUUUCAGUUUUAUCAGACCAGCCUUGUCCACAUUUGACUGAUUUUUUUUCUCUUAUCAUCCAUUACCAAUCACUCAGCGUCUUCAGUAAAUAGAAAAUAAGAUGCAUGAUGGAGCCUCAUGACAAUUAGAGGACAAGAAAGGGAGAUUAGCCCUGAGCUAACAUCAUGCCCAUCUUCCUCUACUUUAUACGUGGGACGCCUACCACAGCGUGGCUUGAUAAGCGGUGAGGAAAGACCUGUAAUUGAGAGGGCUUUUUGAUACAACAACAUUUCAAGAAGGAGCUUCUGCUACUUUUCACACUGAUCUUCUGACUGAUGAACUUUGUGUGGCCCAAUAAAGCCAAACUACUUGCCGAGGAGCAUAAGGUUGAUUCAAAUCAGCAUCAGAAUCCACAAUCCUCUCUCACUCUGGGACCAUUCCUUAGUGGCUGAGCCCCCACAGGAACUUCUUGAAUAUAAGUAUUUUCAUCCUAUUAACUCGUUAGAAUAGCUUUAAAUGCUUCCAGAGAACUGCUAUGAUUCUAUUCUAUUCUGACCCAACCUAAUUACUGUUUUGUUCCUUUGCAGUUUGAAUUGACUUGUUUUUUGCUCAGCUCUCCUUCUUCUUUACUUACUACGUAAUGUUGAUGAUUAACCUGAAGAUGAUAGUAUGUUUGUAAAAUGUUGGGAAAGCUGGCAAGAUUUCAAAUAUUCAAGUAUCAUGAAAAAAAGGAGAGAGAGAAUUCUUUCAUUUAUACGUUCUUUUGAAAGCAGACACACACAUCAACUGCUGAAUGCCUGAGGCGUCCGCAACUCAAGAGUGGAAGAGAUUUCAAGAAGCAGACAAGUCUGUGUGCACCUGUGCCAGCCAGCAAUCAGUCUCCCGUCACCCUGCCCUCCCCUCUAUGAGUGUGUUUAUAGGCAUGUGUGUGCGUACACACACAAGACACACACACAGAGGCAAAUACACAUAUUAUACAGAGAAAAUGUUCCUAAAGGAAGAGUAGCCCUGAGCUAACAGCUGCCAAUCCUCCUCUUUUUGCUGAGGAAGACUGGCCCUGAGCUCACAUCUGUGCCCAUCUCCCUCUACUUUAUAUUUGGAACGCCUACCACAGCAUGGCUUGCCAAGUGGUGCCAUGUCAGCACCUGGGAUCCGAACCAGCGAACCCUGGGCCACCGAAGCGGAACGUACACACUUAACCAGUGCACCACUGGGUUGGCCCCAAUGCACACGUUUAAUGUGGUAUUACAUCUUGUUUUGUCAAAAAGCUGUAAUAAUCGAAGCUAAAUCAUCUUGAAA